rnacentral:rRNA from 1 species
UACGAAGGGGGCUAGCGUUGCUCGGAAUCACUGGGCGUAAAGGGUGCGUAGGCGGGUCUUUAAGUCAGGGGUGAAAUCCUGGAGCUCAACUCCAGAACUGCCUUUGAUACUGAGGAUCUUGAGUUCGGGAGAGGUGAGUGGAACUGCGAGUGUAGAGGUGAAAUUCGUAGAUAUUCGCAAGAACACCAGUGGCGAAGGCGGCUCACUGGCCCGAUACUGACGCUGAGGCACGAAAAGCGUGGGGGAGCAAAACAGGGAUUAGA